UGAAGUGUACACUUUAAAACAGUGAAUUUUUGUGGAACAAAACAGAGAAGAUUAGCGUGGCCCCUGUGCAAGGAUGAUAUGCAAAGUCGUGAAGCAUUCCAUAUUCUU